UUUACCUGCCUUUUACCCGCAGUCCUCCUAAUAAGUCGAACCUUAACAGUUACGGACGAGAGAAAAAAAAACGCAGCCGCCCGCACGGCCCAUCCUCCUGAUCCCAUAUCGACUCCUGCGCGCCGCCACCUCCUGCCCCGCCUCACCGCACGCCGCACACCGCCGCCCCCCAGCCCCUCGUCGCGGCUCUCCACCGGACUGCCCUUGUCGCCGCGCUCCUCCGGACCGCCCCCCCUCGCCGUGCGCCGCCACCUCCUACCGUCGCCGUGCUCCGCCACCGCCUACCCCGCCGGCGCGCCUACUCCCACCCAAGUGCCCCCACACCCGCGGCCUUCCACCGCCGGCAACUCUCGACGUCAGGGGUUGGGGAGGCGGAUUCGGGGGCGGGCGACGCGGCGGGGGUCGCCGGUGACGACGAUGAAGGCAGGCAUAAUUUUUUCCCCGACCCCUGCGAACCCUAGCAGCCGCACAAACGUCACCCCGCCGCCGGUCAUGGGGUCGUUUCCCCGCGCCUCCUCUUCUCCCUCUGCUCCAGGCCCCCUCUCUCGCGCUGCUAGGAGUAGUGGUCUCUAGCAGCUGCCCUCCCCUCAGUCAUCGCAUCAAUCUCCUGCUCCAUCUCUCUCCAACAUCCCCGCUCUCCUCUCGCAUCACACACAGGCGGUGGCUAUACAUAUCUGGCCGGGUGUGGCGUGUGUGGCAUCUGUGACGUGCUUCGGCCCGCCGGUUGUCCCUGAUGUGUGCGGCUGGAUGUGCGUCCCUGUUCAUGUGUGUGGCGCUUUACAUGCAGAGGAAGUGAAUGCUUGCAAGCAGAGGAAGCUGUUGGCCAUUGGCAAAGGAGGAUUAGGAUAGUUCUCUUGAUCUUGGUCAGAAAAAUUGAUAGUUCCCUUGAUUUGUUUUGUUCUGAAUUAGUACAAAAGUGCACUGAUAUUUGUUUUGUGCUGCGGGAGCUUCAAGACACCAGGUACCAAUUGCAACUUUCAUUUAUCUGUUGUGUGAACCAAUUUGUGAUGGCUUCUAAACGCACUUGGCUGGAACAGAGCAAUUUUCUGUAGUCUUCAGCGACGAUGUGGUGCUGCACUGCUGCUCUCUUGCUGCUAACUUGCUACUUCUAGCUGAAUUUUGCUAUUGCUGCUAGCUGAAUUUUGCAUAGGCAUGGCAGGCUGUUUGGUACAUAUACAAAUGAUGCUGUUAUUUUUGUUAUUGCUCACACCCGGCCGCCCGCGCUCACGGCCAGUGCUGCAGAUUUCGUGGCUGGCCAGCUUAUCCUCAAUGUGUUCUGACUCGGAGGUCGGAGUUGAAGCUGACGACAGACUCAAGCACUCCACCAUAUUCUUAGUAUUGCAUACCGUCACCGCUGAGGGUUUCAGGAUAUGCCUUACAAGCCAUCCAUGUGAGAAAUCCAAGGGGUUCAAGGCGUAUUGAAAAGGAGCUGGAGUAGGUAGGUGGUGGAUUGAGGAAGGAUCUGGAGCAGAGGCGGAAUCGAGGCUGCCCCUACGUGCGCUAAGGUGCUGCAAGGCGCCUGCGAUCCAGACACUGCUAUGUUUUCUCCUUCUCUUCAGGUAAGCCCUCAGCAGCACCUCCCGUACCCCCUCCAUCCGAAUUCAGCAGCGCACAACGACAGCGGUAGCCGACGUCCUCCUCAUCCAUGACACUCCCAACUUUUUUGCAUGUUACAACCCAUAUCAUACACGGUUCUGCAUUGUGGUGUGUGUGCCAAAGUUCUAAAUUGCAUAAGUUCUUGGAGGACGGGAAAGAACAUAAAAUUUAUGUUUUCAGUCACAAGUCUGCUCCCCAUUGUGGAUAGCGUCAAACGGAAUGUGGUGAACAGGUGCGAGACAGAAUUUAGUGGAGAUGCAAGAUGAAAGAUGGAACAUGAUGCUUCAAAUCAGCAUAAUUAUAAGGAUUACUAAAUUUCUCAGGGAAAUCAAUGCAACGGUGAUAAAUAUAUGUAAUUGCAUUUUUUUCCGGGAAUAUGUAAUUGCAUGUAUAGCAUCUGUUUUGAACUGUAUUUUAUAUGCCAUUUAUGUAUCAUGGUGGAACACAAAAUUUAAAUAGAAAAGAAUAGCAGUAACUAAUGUA